ensembl:lncRNA
GUUUACGGUGUUGUAGAUUCCGAUAGAGAGGUUUACAGUGUUUUAGAGUGUGAUAGAGAGGUUUACAGUGUUGUAGAGUCCGAUAGAGAGGUUUACAGUGUUGUAGAGUCCGAUAGAGAGGUUUACGGUGUUGUAGAGUCCGAUAGAGAGGUUUACGGUGUUGUAGAUUCCGAUAGAGAGGUUUACGGUGUUUUAGAGUCCGAUAGAGAGGUUUACGGUGUUUUAGAGUCCGAUAGAGAGGUUUACGGUGUUUUAGAGUCCGAUAGAGAGGUUUACGGUGUUGUAGAGUCCGAUAGAGAGGUUUACGGUGUUGUAGAAUGGGAAGGAGAGGUUAGGUGAAUCUGAGAUAGCUGUGACCAAAAUUAAGGAAUGAACAAACAAGCAGACAAGGGGAGAUUAGACCAAAAUAGAAAGUACAGCAAAAGAGAGGCAUGUCAU